CAGCCAACCAGGUUUGGGGAAAUGUCUUUGGAGAAUUCCAGCCUCAUAGGAUGUACUCCUUCUCUAAGAGCAUUUGGAGUCAUUUGAUAUGGCGUAUGUUUCUUUAUGAUUUCUGUGUAUUUAUUAUUCAGUGAAAAUGACAUUAUUAAAUCAUUGAAUUUCAAAAAUCACCAACAACUCAAGUAUAUUUCUAGAGUACUGUGACAGGCUGGUAUUCUCCUAAGCUUCCUAGAUGUAUUAUGAGAGGCCAUAUUAUGUACUAUUGCAGCAUAACAAAACAGCUCAUUUGGAUCCAGCACCUCAGUGAUAUCAUCCUAAUGAGGAGCAAAUGGGGAAUGAGGCCUCGCUCGCAUUGUUGUUGCCACAGAUUACACCUGACACCCAAAACGCCGAGGUUUGAUCGGGUAGCUGUUUGAACGUAUCAAAGGCAGUGGAGAGAAACCCAACACCUCUGCUGCGAAAAAGCGUCGGGGAGAGAAUGUGAGAGGGCAAGUACGGUAUGCAGAGAGGCAGGCAGAGAAAGCCAUCUACAUUUCAAAUGCAGAGGAUGUUUUCCGUUGGAUGUUUAUGAAACAUGGCUGCUGGGAUUGAGCAACUGUAAAAGGAUAUGGCAUCAAAGAACUGCUCAGAGAAAACAAAACAACAACACGCCGCUGCUCACGGAAGAGGAGAGCAGAACACAACUCCUCCUAAGAAUUAUGCAGCAGCUUCAACUGAUUACCUGCAACCUUGGGCCUCUGAACGACUCCCUCGAACCUCAGGCCCGGACACAAACUGUCUGGAUGAAGAGUGGGUGUGGCAAGAUUCUGACCAAUGGGAUGACAGGAGGGUUCUCUUAAAGAGGGAAUGAUCUUUAUGCCAUGCAGCGCUUGUAGAGUGUGACUAGUCCCUGCUGCAUUUCUCUUUCCAAGCUUUCUUUCAUUCACCACUCCACUAUCGCUAAACAGACUGCUUAUCGAAUCCUAUUGGUGAAGAGGAACUCAUUACUGCCGAUAAUACUCUAUCAAUGAAUACUGACGUCAUUUAAAUGCUACUCCCGGGUAUCCUUGGAAACCGAUAUGCUAUUUAGAGGUGACUGUGCAAUGGCCACUUCCAGCUGUGCUUCAGCGAGGAAAAAAAAAAAAAAAACACAGGAC
ensembl:lncRNA